GAAUCUUGCGCAAUGGGGGAAACCCUGACGCAGCCACGCCGCGUGCCGGAAGAAGGCCCUAUGGGUUGUAAACGGCGUUUAUUCGGGAAGAAAGUCCGGGAUUCGUCCUGGUUUGACGGUACCGAAUGAAUAAGCACCGGCUAACUCCGUGCCAGCAGCCGCGGUAAUACGGAGGGUGCAAGCGUUGUCCGGAAUCAUUGGGUGUAAAGGGUGCGUAGGCGGCCACUUAAGUCUGGGGUGAAAUCUUGCCGCUUCACGGUAAAAUUGCCUUGGAUACUGAGUGCCUUGAAUCUGGUAGAGGUUGGCGGAAUUUGUGGUGUAGCGGUGAAAUGCAUAGAUAUCACAAAGAACACCGGUGGCGAAGGCGGCCAACUGGGCCAGUAUUGACGCUGAGGCACGAGAGCGUGGGGAGCAAAC
rnacentral:rRNA from 1 species